rnacentral:rRNA from 1 species
AGAAUCAACGCUGGCGGCGUGCCUCAGACAUGCAAGUCGAACGCGAAAGCCCCCUUCGGGGGGCAAGUAGAGUGGCGCACGGGUGAGUAACACGUAGGUAAUCUACCUUCGGAUGGGGAAUAACAAUCGGAAACGGUUGCUAAUACCGCAUAAUGCAGCGGCACCUAAUGGUGACAGUUGUUAAAGCGGGGGAUCGAAAGACCUCGCGUCUGAAGAGGAGCCUGCGGCGGAUUAGCUAGUUGGUAGGGUAACGGCUUACCAAGGCAACGAUCCGUAGCCGG